GUUGUAGGUUAGCUAGAAGGACGGAAAGAGAAGCUAAUUGACGUAAAUUGACUGUCUUAGUAUAUUGAAGCUCCAGUGUUAAGAAGUUUGCUAAACUUCGGACCAAAGACGAAUCUACGUCAUCUUUGACUCAUACGAUCUUAGGUCGGUUCAGCAGCAAGAUGAACUUGGAAUAAUGAGCCAGAGCCCAAAAUUUUAUUGAAGUGAAGAAUGAUUUUGCCCAGGGACUGGUGAGGAUAAUACACCACUUAAGCUCGGGCUCCAUGUUUGCAGUCACCGUAGCGUCUACGUCUUCCUGCAUAUGUCCUACUUCUUCAGGCCUGGGUGUAAAAGAGACGUCUCGGCGCUGCCUACCAGGAAACCGCACAAACUGUCGCGGACUUUUCUGCGGGGAGUCAGAGUUCACCAAGCGUCUGCCAAGCGAGACGGGGCAUCGCUUUGUUGCCAAGUAGGACUGCGAGACGAGCCCAGACGCACCGAUGCUCCGCUCAACAGGCCACCAAGAGCAAACGACGUGGCAGCAGAGAGUGUGACGGUCGGCAGGCGAGGAACUGGCAUUGGACGAGUCACCAGCACAGCGGCCUUCUGUCUCCCUCUCCCCAUCAGAUGGACAGGCUGGAGGCAGGAUUUGUUGUCUGUGCGGACGCUUCGCUGCUGACACAUUAGUUGCAGAGUCGAGUAUGGAGCUACUGGAGACUCUUUGUGGGCAUCGGUCGAUCUCUCACGUUACAGCAGCUAUGCAAACGUUCUGUCACAUGCUAUAGAUCUGAUGUCAUCGUAGCUCAUGUGCACAACUAGUCUUGGGCCUCUACAACCACAAACAGACCGCUUUUGAUGCACGUCACCCAACAUCUCUCGUCUUUUAUUCCACAACCCUCUGAAACCUGCUGGACGCCAAGUGAUACUGUGGUGGCGGAGGGCGCUGAGCAAAUCAUUUAUCCACUGGGUUGAGAUGUAGUGACUGCCGAGGCAACGGCAUAUGAAUCAUAUUGUUUUAUUACUCAUCAAAUCAUCCGGUGACCCCUGUGUCCUGCGCGGAGGCAUCUGCAUCGGUUAUUGGUUUUCUACUCAUUGAUUCAGUUAUUUCUGUUAAUUCGUCAUCCCUCUGCAGGUGUCUGUCGACACGCAGGCACGAGGGGGCUCACGGAGCAUCUCUAAUAUGUUGCAGGAUAUUUGGCUGGGGUGAUUAAUUAAUGCAGUGAUUGGGAUCCACGCGUCCGUUGUAACCUGCUCAUCCUGGGCGUGGACACUGGGCCAGAUUAAGGCUGUGAAUCCACCUAAUUCAUGGGCUUGUGUCCAGAGAGUUGGUGAAAAUCAGGAGAAGCAAGCGAGAGAACUCAAUAAAAUAGGAAAACGUGGGCUAUAAAGACCAUGUCCACAGUGUACGGUUUGCUUUGACCUUAAGGUUACCUGUUGUUCUCUACUGUCAUGUUUUCUGUGACCUUUUCCUUUUUAUUUCUAAUUUAUUUUUAUCAUUUAAUAUGUCACAGCCCUUUGUUUGCUGGUACUUUUUAGCUCGCCGUUCUGUGCGAUGCAUUGUGCACAUGGAUUUAGUGAAAACUUAAUUUCCCAUUGUUGUUUUAUUGUUUCAAAGGACACAUUUAAUGCUGAAUUAAACAUUUCUUGCCAGACUUAAAAAGCCGAUUUGCCGGCUCGCACGCAGAAGCCCCAGGAACGUAAAUACAGAUCGUAAUUAGAUGGAGAAACUUUAAAGUUGGAUCCCACUCCCUCUCCUCUGCGUGAACCGUGAUGCGAUGAAGCCAUGGGACAAAUGAGGAGGGAGAGGGGAGGAGCAGAGGCGGAAGAAUAGAGGGGGGAGAGACGGAGGAGGGGGGUGAGGACUAAUUUAUGUGAGUUCCCAGUGCCAUCGCUGGGACACCGCUUCCCUGUAGACUGUGUUGCUGGUGUCUGGAGAGGGGGAAUGCAAAUGGAGCAGGUUCCUAGGUGAGGUUGGGCACAGUCACAGGCCCAUGUUGGGACCCGGGCAUGCAGUUGCUAAACAAGUGUUCUUUGUCAUGCUGGGCCCCUGGGGCUGAACCAAACAAAUCCUAUCAUCUGCAGUGUUGUGUUACUUAAGCAAAAAUACUCAACUUUGCAGUCACUAUUUAUAAGAUGAAAGGGCCUCUUCGGGGAAUGUCAGAAUUAGUUUUUUUCCUCCAAUUAAUUUGUGUUUUGAGUAUCUUUUCAUGGUCCCUGCUUCGCCUCCCUGGUGGUUCGGUUGGGUUUGGUGCACUGUGUGUUUGCACGGUAGUCAAUGUGUCAAAACUCAAUGAAUAAGCGCCUGUUUGCCGUCUGUUUUUUUCCCCUUCUUGUUGUGCUGAGAUUGUUCACAAGCGGAGAUCAUUCAUUCUCAAAUAACAAAAAAGCAAACGGGGGGAAAAUGAGAAACCUUCAUUUACUGGUGGAUUUGUUUUAACAAAGACACAAAAACAUCCUUGCCUGUGAACACGCGUUCUCCUUCGCUCCCUCUGCCUUUGCUAAUCUAAUAAAUGCUUACACACUGACAAAAACUAGACCAGAGUCUUUGAUGAAUUAAGAAACACUCUGUUCACUAAUUGACAAAAUCAUUGAAAGUUAAAGAUAAAAUCCUCACUGUAAUUAAAAGUGAAGCACCAUUUAUCUAUAGAUUUGUACCAGACUACUUUAUUGGAUUGCUUCGCCGUGCCUGAAAUAUG